rnacentral:lncRNA from 1 species
UUCAACUUCCCAAGCCCUUACCUGGUUAAUGGCCUUCCCAGCUCUUUCCACCUGAGGGCUGCUGUCUUUUGGACCACUUUGCGUACUCCUUGCCUUUUCUAGGCAUUUCCGGCCGGCCUCUCCUCUGAACUGACCUCUCCUCUGAUGGCUGGUGGCACUGACCACCUGUGCUGCUCAUUUGGCCUUUAGCAUCCACUGUCCAGGCUGCUCUUCUAUGUCCACUUGUUAUUUCUCCAACUAGAUUGCCAGCUACCUGGGUUUCACCUAUCCCCUACCGUCCCAGUAAGGCCAAGCCACAACCUCGUGAGUAUAGCCAGGACUCCGUGAACACGGAUUCCUUGAAUUGGUCAGCUCCGUUGGAGCCAACAUCUCCUUUCCUGUGCCCUUUGUCACCUGUUCAGUUGGCUCAGAGAAUCCUUGCUGGGCCAGUCUCUCUGUCCCUAUUGCCUGGGACUCUGUUUCUAGAACAAUAAGAUGGAUUCCGUUCCUCUCCUAAGAGAGUGUUGAGUUCCGGAAUGGGGGUAACAGUUCUCUCUUGGCAGAGGAGGAUCCGCCCAGUCAGGCGGGCCAAGGGACCAUUGAUCUGAGUCCAGUGAGAAAGUGGCUUCUCAGGAGCCCUGGAUCCAGGCCCACUUCCAGACAACUUCUUCUUUCAACUCUCUUUCAUGUGUUUUAACUUCACAAAUAUGCCAGUUCCCAGCUGCUCCUGAGAGACAGCGGUGAUGGUGGUGGUGGGGAGACCACAGCAGGGACCCUGCUUCCUGUCUACGUAGCUGCUGGCUCUUCCCACACAGGGCUGGGCUUGGGCUGAGUUUUUGUACUUCCAUGGAGGCACAGCUAGAAGGGAAAGCGCCAUCGUGCCAGUAGCAUUUGGCUGAUGUUCAGGUGUGCAUCUCCCCAGCUCAGGAUGCUCCUCCCUCUUCACCUAGUUAACCCAGCUCAGCCUUCAGGUCUCAGCUUCAAGGUCAUGUCCCCAAAGAGGCUCUCCCUGACCUUAGUUCUAAAUAAGGGUUCCUUG